rnacentral:ncRNA from 2 species
UACAGAGGGUGCAAGCGUUGCUCGGAAUUAUUGGGCGUAAAGGGUAGGUAGGUGGUCUCAUUUGUCGGGGGUGAAAGCCUUGGGCUUAACCCAAGAAGUGCCUUCGAAACGGUGAGACUGGAGUCCUGGAGAGGGUCGUGGAAUUCCCGGUGUAGCGGUGAAAUGCGUAGAGAUCGGGAGGAACACCAGCGGCGAAGGCGGCGACCUGGACAGGUACUGACACUCAACUACGAAAGCGUGGGGAGCAAACAGG